UACGUAGGGUCCGAGCGUUGUCCGGAAUUAUUGGGCGUAAAGAGCUCGUAGGCGGUCUGUUGCGUCCGCUGUGAAAACCCGGGGCUUAACCCCUGGCUUGCAGUGGAUACGGACAGACUAGAGGUAGGUAGGGGAGAAUGGAAUUCCCGGUGUAGCGGUGAAAUGCGCAGAUAUCGGGAGGAACACCGGUGGCGAAGGCGGUUCUCUGGGCCUUACCUGACGCUGAGGAGCGAAAGCGUGGGGAGCGAACAGG
rnacentral:rRNA from 1 species